AGUGGGAGCACGCUUCGGCGUGUGACUGCGUACCUUUUGUAUAAUGGGUCAGCGACUUAUAUUCUGUAGCAAGGUUAACCGAAUAGGGGAGCCGAAGGGAAACCGAGUCUUAACUGGGCGUUAAGUUGCAGGGUAUAGACCCGAAACCCGGUGAUCUAGCCAUGGGCAGGUUGAAGGUUGGGUAACACUAACUGGAGGACCGAACCGACUAAUGUUGAAAAAUUAGCGGAUGACUUGUGGCUGGGGGUGAAAGGCCAAUCAAACCGGGAGAUAGCUGGUUCUCCCCGAAAGCUAUUUAGGUAGCGCCUCGUGAAUUCAUCUCCGGGGGUAGAGCACUGUUUCGGCAAGGGGGUCAUCCCGACUUACCAACCCGAUGCAAACUGCGAAUACCGGAGAAUGUUAUCACGGGAGACACACGGCGGGUGCUAACGUCCGUCGUGAAGAGGGAAACAACCCAGACCGCCAGCUAAGGUCCCAAAGUCAUGGUUAAGUGGGAAACGAUGUGGGAAGGCCCAGACAGCCAGGAUGUUGGCUUAGAAGCAGCCAUCAUUUAAAGAAAGCGUAAUAGCUCACUGGUCGAGUCGGCCUGCGCGGAAGAUGUAACGGGGCUAAACCAUGCACCGAAGCUGCGGCAGCGACACUAUGUGUUGUUGGGUAGGGGAGCGU
rnacentral:rRNA from 1 species